GACGAACGCUGGCGGCGUGCCUAAUACAUGCAAGUCGAACGCUUCUUUCCUCCCGAGUGCUUGCACUCAAUUGGAAAGAGGAGUGGCGGACGGGUGAGUAACACGUGGGUAACCUACCCAUCAGAGGGGGAUAACACUUGGAAACAGGUGCUAAUACCGCAUAACAGUUUAUGCCGCAUGGCAUAAGAGUGAAAGGCACUUUCGGGUGUCGCUGAUGGAUGGACCCGCGGUGCAUUAGCUAGUUGGUGAGGUAACGGCUCACCAAGGCCACGAUGCAUAGCCGACCUGAGAGGGUGAUCGGCCACACUGGGACUGAGACACGGCCCAGACUCCUACGGGAGGCAGCAGUAGGGAAUCUUCGGCAAUGGACGAAAGUCUGACCGAGCAACGCCGCGUGAGUGAAGAAGGUUUUCGGAUCGUAAAACUCUGUUGUUAGAGAAGAACAAGGACGUUAGUAACUGAACGUCCCCUGACGGUAUCUAACCAGAAAGCCACGGCUAACUACGUG
rnacentral:rRNA from 1 species